UCAAGCACUAUGUCUCAAGUUAUUCUGUCUUACCUUUGUUCUGGAGUUUUUUUUAUGUUUCAAAAAUAAAACUGAGGCAUUUGCCUUCUUCUCGAAAGAUAUAUAAGUACAGCUUUAAAAGUUUUAUCAUACUUACUUUGCAUUUUGCUAUGUCAAUGCUCGGAGAAAGGGAGAGGAAUGUCAUACUCCUAGAUCAAGACCUUUGACCUUUUUGAAUAGUCUGUCAUCUCUUACUGUCAUAUUGCUUAUUAGAGGGACCAUGGGCUAUCAUUUUUUUCUUCUUUUCUCUUCUUUUUUUUAAGUGGGCACCAAGUACCCCUAAUUCUACUAUCGGACACGUGUCAAUUUUUUCACUUAGGUGGGUAUCUUUGUACCCCUAAUUCUACUUCGGACACUUGUCCAUUUUUUACCUCUCGUGUCACUCUCUUUUUUGAAUCAAAUUUUUGCAUAGUCCCAUGCCUCUAACGCAAUAAUACUUCGGAAGAGUGAAUCUUUUAUAUUUUUAAAACAAAAAGAUCUUGGUCUUUGGAGCAUGAUAAUUCUCUCAACCAAAACUACAAGAAUUAACAAUGGAUUCUUCUUUAUAUAUAUAUGAACUUUUAGAUUUUCAAAAGAUAAAAUCUCCAGAACUCUAGCAAAACUUGGAACAAGUUAAAUAGUAGCUCAGACCUUCUCAUAUCAUGUUUGUCAAUUACCUAGACUUGGAUCAAACUUUCUUUUUAUUUUAUUUAAAACUUAGGAUUACACAAAACUAUUGUAUAUUACUCAAAAGAAAAACUUUGUUUGGUUUAAUGGUUAUGCAUAUUUUUAUUUAUUUCCGAAUACUAGUAAAUAAAACCAAGAAAGAAAAAUAAUACUUAUCU
rnacentral:lncRNA from 1 species